GAGACAGCAGUCGCCGCGGUAAUACAGAGGGUGCGAGCGUUAAUCGGAUUUACUGGGCGUAAAGCGUGCGUAGGCGGCUAAUUGAGUCGGAUGUGAAAUCCCCGAGCUUAACUUGGGAAUUGCAUUCGAUACUGGUUAGCUAGAGUGUGGGAGAGGAUGGUAGAAUUCCAGGUGUAGCGGUGAAAUGCGUAGAGAUCUGGAGGAAUACCGAUGGCGAAGGCAGCCAUCUGGCCUAACACUGACGCUGAGGUACGAAAGCAUGGGGAGCAAACAGGAUUAGAUACCCCCGUAGUCCCUGUCUCUUAUAC
rnacentral:rRNA from 1 species